UAUGGAAGUAACAUAUCUGCAUCUAUGGAGCAGGCAUAGAAAAUGCUGCAAAUACAUGCCUUUGAUCUAAAUGACAGAAAUAAAUUUGCUAGGGACACGGUAGAAUUAAGCAUGUUUAAACUGACCCAUAUUGCUUGAAGUGCAGGUAGAAUAUUUCUCCUUUCGAUCGGGACCAUUUGAUUUACGGCAUAAAUAAAAUUAUGUUAUAUGCAUAAUACAUGUAAUAUAAUUUGGCACAUUAACUCUUAACGGAUGGAGGUUAAUAUUUUAUCUAUCCCUUAUUUUUUUUCCUGUUCUCUAGCUAAAUUUAUCACGAGUCUGCAGGCAUGGCUUGCUGCUGCACAUGGACACGAACAAUUAAGUUUUCAGUCAGAACCAGAGUGAGAGACUCCGAUCCCACUGCACUCACUAAGCCUACACUGAUAAGGCAGGAAGAAGCUCUUGUGCAAGAAAUCUGAAGUGAAGGCUCCAGUUAUCCCUGGGCUGUGUGAAGGAAUCUCACUGAGACCCUCCUGGCACUUUGUCUGCAGAGGAACUGCAGAGAGCAAGCUUCCUGUGCUGAGCAGCCUGUGGAGAGUUACACCUCCACCUGGGAUGGAAACCAGCUCUCCUACCUGAGCAAGCAGAACACUAAGCUGGACAUUUGGAAAGCUUACUUUGCCGUGGCAGGUUAUCCUCAUUAUCACUGCAAGUACCUAACUCUUUGCUGCUGCAAGCUGAACUCAAAGAUGCUGAUGUGUGUAACUGUAGUGAUGGGUUUAUGAAAUAAAGUGGAUUCCAUCAGCAAGCUAAGAUAUAAAUCUUGAAUGACUGAGAACUUUGGGAACUGGUUGGAAUAAUGGAUUGAAUGUCAUCUGUGUAUGCAAAGUCGUCAGAAUCUGUCAAUCUUCAGGAAAGCUUUGAGUAUGGAAGAAUGGAGAACCAGUAGAGGCCUUUUGUCACAUUGCCUGAGCAUGGAGGAUUUCAUAGGCUGGGACAUUCAGGGUGGGCAGCUUUUGCAAUGGAAUUUGGAAGCAAUUUAUGUGAUGGAACUGGCAAGAUAAACACCUGAGAUGACAUGGAGACACUGGGGAGCUUUGAAGGCAAGUUAUACAAAUGGGAACUAAAAAUGAAAGAGGGGAAAUUGAAAUGAAGAUAAAAAGGUUUAAAUACCUGAGGGCAAGGUAAAAGGAAAGCAAAGACCUCAGAUUCAUUGUAUUCAAGUAGUAUGAUCAGAGUGAUUUUUCUUUUCUAAAACCAAAAGAAUAUGUCAAUGUAAAUUUUUUUCUGGUAGAGGAAACAUACUUGAGGUUUUCUCUAUCACUCAUUUGCAAAUGGCAGUGCUCAAAUAGUUAUGAAAAUUAAUAGGACAGGGUGUUUUAUUUGGGAGUUCGCCUAGGGAAGAGUCAUAUCCUCUAAAGAAAAUGCAUUUUUUCUUUCACCUGGUGGAGCUAACUUUAAACUCUCUUUAAAAGACCAUGGGAGACUCACAGAAAGCAUUAAUGUAAUGUUGCCAAGCACGUGCCUUUUUUCUCUUUCCUUCUGCCACUGAGGGUUUGGGUUGCUGCUCCUCCUGUGCAAUUUCAGUUUGCCUCUUUGCUCUGCUAAGGUUGCUGUCAUUGGUUCACCACAUUCCUUGGACAUUUGCUGCACAUUUUACUGGCAUGAGCAUGAAUAGAAAUAUAAUUCUGACAUUAAUUAGCUGAGAAUGUGUGCAUCACUGGAGAAUAAAAGGAAUAUAUUUCCAGAAAAUCAUUCCAUUUGUUUUUCAGAGUAUCUCCUGACUACUGGAUUUAAACACUGAAAAAGAAAAGGGAGCUGGGAC